rnacentral:rRNA from 1 species
AAACCGUUCAGGGGUAAACCUAAGAAACCCAAAAGAUCGAACGGGGAGAUUCAUCGUCAGCGACGCUGGCUUCGCGUCGGUGGGCGAUGUCCCGCGGGGCCUCGCGGCUCGCGCGCGGGCACGCUGCCGUGCGUCGAUGUCCGGCGUUCGUCGUCGUGCACUUCUCCCCUAGUAGAACGUCGCGACCCGCUGGGUGUCGGUCUACGGCCCGGGUGCGGUGACUGACGCGUCGCCGGUAAAACGGCACUCGUCAAACCCCCGGUCGCCCGGCCGGCUGCCCGGCGGUACACGCAAGGUAUCAGGCCGCACCUUACUCUACGAGUGCGUCGAGGCCGUCGCAAGCGCGCGCCACGGUACACGGAGGCUAACGGACCUAGCGCCGUCACCGGUCCUGGCCCGCUGUUGGUCGUACGGUUAACCUUCGACAGGCCUACGAACGUCCCCCGGGAAAUCCGGGGGACCGAUACCGGUCGGCGACGCUACUGCUUUGGGUACUCUUAGGA